GCAUGGUACAGAGUAGAAAGGCUAUCCAGCAGGAGGGUUGGGUAGAGGAAGAGAUAAAUCAUAAAGGGUUAAGAACUGUAUGUAUAUCAUAAUAAUUGUGUUACUGGGAAGUUAUCCCAGCCAGUGCCCUGUCGGGGGUUCCAGGAGGUGACCACUUCCAUCAUCCUGUCAGUAAUGACCGAAAUGUAGCUGACCAUGGUCACCAUCCCACCCCAAUCUUAAAAACGCUGUGGGGUUUUUGUAUUUUGUGUUAGCCAUUACCCUGGUAGAGGGUGGGGGUUUAAAUGAAAUGUUGUGUUUUUGCUUUGUAAUGUAAUUGUCCUUCUGUCUUGUUACUGUACAGCGUUGACAUGGUUAAAUUCGUG